rnacentral:sRNA from 1 species
GAGCUGCAUAUUUUCAGCAUGUUUCAAUUUCUGCGAUUAAUUUGUGGAAAUUGACGAAAGGAAUGUCUGCAAGAGUCAAUUAUAACAAGAAGAUGCGAAUCAAUCAGGCCAAAAUUCGACGCCUCCAAACGCCAUUCGAUCGAAGACUUCUUCAAUUGGAGCGCUCCAUCAAUAAGCUGCAGAGAGAAGUCAACCUCUACAAGAAGAAGUACUCGCCCCGAGUCAGAGCUCCACGGAAGCCAAGGACAAUGGUCCGGGGAUUCGACGAAUUCAACUUCCAGCGCCUUCGUACUCUCGAGGCUAUGGCCGUCAAACUUUUGUUUUCCUCUCAUCAUCCCAUAAAAUAAGUGGAACACUUCUCAUACCAUAAUUGAGCUUUAAAAUUCAUACCUCAUCUGCAAAAAUAAGGACAUUUCCAUUCAAAAUGGUACUAUAUUUAUGAA